rnacentral:rRNA from 1 species
CGACCGCGACCCCAGGUCAGGCGGGACUACCCGCUGAGUUUAAGCAUAUCAAUAAGNGGAGGAAAAGAAACUUACAAGGAUUCCCCUAGUAACGGCGAGCGAACCGGGAAUA